UACGUAGGGUGCGAGCGUUGUCCGGAAUUAUUGGGCGUAAAGGGCUCGUAGGCGGAUGUGUCAGUCAGGGGUGAAAUCCCGAGGCUCAACCUCGGAACUGCCUUUGAUACUGCAAAUCUCGAGUCCGGAAGAGGUGAGUGGAAUUCCUAGUGUAGAGGUGAAAUUCGUAGAUAUUAGGAAGAACACCAGUGGCGAAGGCGGCUCACUGGUCCGGUACUGACGCUGAGGUGCGAAAGCGUGGGGAGCAAACAGG
rnacentral:rRNA from 1 species